CCAGAGUGUGACCUCAAGAGGGUGGUGUCAGCUCAAAGGCCACUCAGCUGCUCUCAGCUGUCUUUGCUGGAAUGGAAAGAGAUCUUGUUGUAAGAGGAGCGUUGGAUGAACCAGCCCCAACCCAGGGUCUAGAGUUUGAGGAGUGACAAGGGCAGAUCUCUAAGGAAGCGAAACUCCUCUGAGACCCGACAGGGAACCAGCUUCCUCGAGGAACCUGAGUGAAAGGUGUCUCUGAAGCCCUGAAAGGCCUCUCAGCUUGGCAUGGCCCCCCGCCCCGCCCCAGCUCGCUCUCUUGAUGCCCAUGUGUGUGACUUGACAGCAUUCCUGCCUUGCUGGCCCACUGCCCCACUCCAAGGAAGGACGCUCUCAAGGUCCAGGUCCCUGGCAGGUAAACAGCAAAGUUUCAGAUUCACAGACAUCCUCUCCCUCCUGCACCAACUGCCCACCAGGAAAGUGGGAGCUUGGCGCUGCUUGCAAAGGACUAGGUGAUGUAUGAGCCUGUCUGCGGGCGCCAGGUCCUGAUCUGUGUCCCUGUGAAUAAGAAGCCACUUAAGAGUGUCAGGCAAUCAGGGACUGCCCCUCCUCCUGCCUUCGACCUUGCCUCAGCUUUUGUGGAGUCUGUGGGGUGAUGUGAUAGAGGCUGUGUAGUCAGAUCAGCACCACAGAGGGAGAACAUGGAGAUGGUGUGGUCUCUCCUCCCCAACAGCGUAUUCUGUGUUGCUAGUGUGAGUGCUGCCCAGGGACCCACGAGAUCAGUGUUGACCAAUAGAACUGGGUGAAGGACGUGGGAAUUUGGGUCAGAGACUUCUAUCAGAAGAUGAAAGUCAUCCAGGCAGAGCCUACUGAUUCUGUCCCACACAAUCCACUCUGCCCUCAGUGAAUGAGCAUCAAGUCGAUGGUGAAUGUGGCAUUGACCUAUACCUGCUUUGAGCAUGGGUCUGUCUCCUGCCCUGUGCCCCAGUGUUAAACACACCAUCCUGGUGACAGUGUUAUGUCCCUGUAGGAGAACAUGGAUGCUGGCACAUCUGAGAUUUACCCCGGGGAGAGCAGAGCCUCGCAUGAGACAUGAGUGCAGUCAGCAUCCAGGCUUUGCAGGGCACACCACAUCCCAGGACACCACACGUGAGGGUAGCCAAGGGAGGCCACUGUUGCUAGCUUCUCUUGCCUCCUGUCCCUAACCAGCUUGGUCACUUUCCAGAGUCAUUUCCCCUGGCCUCCAGGUUGGGACAUCUGGCAGGAUCCAGGAAUCCUGACGUCACACUCACAAUUUAACUGUCCACAUGUUUUCUUUCUGUGUAGAACAGGAAACAGUGAGACAGUGUCCAGGCAAUUUCGUCCCAGAUGUGUGACAUACAGGAUCUUAGAUAGCUGCGAGCUGACAGGCCUUUCUACACAAAAGCCCUCACAGUCCUUCCCGAUUGCUUUGAUAGGCUCUGGGCAGGACUCGGAGGUUGAGGUCUGCAGCACUGGGUGAUGGGGUAUACCUUGAGACAUGCAAAGUCCCAAAGCACGAACAGGCUACCUAGAAAGUUCUUCAGGUGAAAUGGAGACAAUAGCUCCUGGAACUAAGCCCUUCGCACCUACCAUUCUGAAACCCAAGAAUGGUUCCCUGGUUGAUAAAGGCUGCAGUAUGUCUCCCAGAGCCUCUCUUCACGCUCACCAUGGGCUUGUUUCCCCAGGGCGGCUGGGCAGUGGGUAGCACAGUGUUUGCUGGGUAUUGCAGAGCAAGGAAGGGUGUGAAUGGCCUUGAGAAAGCCCUUCGCAAUCCAGGGCCCUACAGGCCUGCAGGGGAGAGACCCAGCAGAGAAUAGGAAUCUGAUGGGUGAGACCAUUUUCCUUAAGCAAGGCUGGCAGGACUGUGUGCGUGCGUGCGUGUGUGUGUGUGUGUGUGUGUGUGUGUGUGUGUGUGUGUAACAUGCUAAUCAAUACUAUCUUUUGAAGAGAGGAAAGGAGGUUGGUUCCUGACAGAGUUGUGAGGAGGAUGGAGAGGAGAAGACCCUGGCGCAGACCCCCACCUGGCCCCACCUCCUGCGAGGUGUCAGGGCAACAUCAGUGGAAUGAGAACCCUGCUGAGCACAUGGGGCAGCUGUUUCCGUGGGACCUGCUGUCCUGACCUGGGAGUGCCAUGCUGGGGACAUGCUGAGGACCACAGGUGAUUUGAUGAAGGUAGUACUGUGUACCUUGCAAACACACCUCCAGUUAGUUACUCUCAGACGCUGCAGAUUUUCAAUUUUCUAGUAAAAGGAUUUCAUCAUAAAAGAGCUAGCCCCAGAAGUACCACCUUGUGACCUUUCAGAUAGAAUUUAGAGGGUUUAGAGAUGGCCCCAGGGAACUGCCUUUUCUGUACAAAGAUCCAGCUGUGUCCU
rnacentral:lncRNA from 1 species